rnacentral:rRNA from 1 species
GAUGAACGCUGGCGGCGUGCCUAAUACAUGCAAGUCGAGCGAACGGAUUAAGAGCUUGCUCUUAUGAAGUUAGCGGCGAACGGGUGAGUAAUACAUCGGAACGUGCCCAGUCGUGGGGGAUAACUACGCGAAAGCGUAGCUCAUACCGCAUACGAGCUAAGGAUGAAAGCGGCGGAUCGCAAGAUCUCGCGCGAUUGGAUCGGCCGAUGGCAGAUUAGGUAGUUGGUGGGGUAAAGGCUCACCAAGCCGACGAUUUGUAGCUGGUCUGAGUGGACGACCAGCCACACUGGGACUGAGACACGGCCCAGACUCCUACGGGAGGCAGCAGUGGGGAAUUUUGGACAAUGGGCGCAAGCCUGAUCCAGCCAUUCCGCGUGCAGGAUGAAGGCCCUCGGGUUGUAAACUGCUUUUGUACGGAACGAAAAGGCUCUGGUUAAUACCUGGGGCUCAUGACGGUACCGUAAGAAUAAGCACCGGCUAACUACGUGCCAGCCGCCGCAGUAA